rnacentral:tmRNA from 3 species
GGGGGCGACCUGGCUUCGACGUGGGUCGCGAAGCAGAGCAGUGCAUGCCGAGGACCAGUCACCUCGCAAAUCCAUCUGGAAAACCACAAACGCCAACGACGAGCGUUUCGCUCUCGCCGCCUAAACCCGGCGAGCGCUGCACCGGACGGCUCACGGGCCGGGUCGGGCAACCGACGGCAGCGUCAUUGACGUGAGAUAAGGGUGCGUCUUGCCGUGAGGCGCACCUCGAAAAUUCAGCGGAUCGCCUUGCAACAGCCCGCCGGUUGGCGGUUGUCGGGUUAAAUCAAACAGCCAGGCUAAGCAUGUAGGACUGCCUGUAGAGGGCUUGCGGACGCGGGUUCGAUUCCCGCCGCCUCCACCA